rnacentral:rRNA from 1 species
UGGGGGAUAUUGCACAAUGGGGGGAACCCUGAUGCAGCGACGCCGCGUGAGUGAAGAAGUAAUUCGUUAUGUAAAGCUCAUCAGCAGGGAAGAAGAAAUGACGGUACCUGAGUAAGAACCCCGGCUAACUACGUGCCAGCAGCCGCGGUAAUACGUAGGGGGCAAGCGUUAUCCGGAUUUACUGGGUGUAAAGGGAGCGUAGACGGCGAUGCAAGCCAGAUGUGAAAGCCCGCGGCUCAACUGCGGGACUGCAUUUGGAACUGUAUGGCUGGAGUGCAGGAGAGGCAGGCGGAAUUCCUAGUGUAGCGGUGAAAUGCGUAGAUAUUAGGAGGAACACCAGUGGCGAAGGCGGCCUGCUGGACUGUAACUGACGUUGAGGCUCGAAAGCGUGGGGAGCAAACAGGAUUAGAUACCC